UUGCUGAGCUUGUGCCAUGAUUCGCAGGGCCUUUUCCUAUCAGUUCUUCAGCAGGAGGCAGAAACUCGUUUAGCGGGUUAUAGGCCAAUUACAGCUUUGGUAGCUAGGCCAUGGUGCCUGAUGGAGAUCUGCUCAAAAGAAGAGAUAAUAGAUAUCGUAACUGACCCAAGCAUUGAAACCACAAAAAUAGGCAUGGAAGCUAGGUACGGUUGCUGCCAAGCAAUACACAAGCUUUCACACGUUCAACCAAACUGAUGAACGAUCCUUCUCUGGCUGGAAUUGCUAGCAAGUUGCAAGAUGCUGUAAGAAGGGGUCCCUUUCUUGCAAGAAGGCGUCCCGAGGCUCAACCUUUUGUAAUGACAGCCGAAAGAUUCUAGACAAAGUCAAUCUCCCAGAACUCGGGAGGAGCAUAUAAUAGUCCCUGCUCAAGGCCGUCUUUCUUCUUUGUGCUCGGAAAAAACAUGCCCGCUUCGGAGGCUUGCUUGAAUUAUGGAGUUUUCGGACAUGAACGGAACUUGUAAAUCUCAGCAGGUUAUAGGAGCCAACUUUUGGUUAAUCCCCUGAAGUAAAAGCGUACUGCCAUCGUCUCGUUAUCUCCGGGGUGGGAUCUCUAUGCAACCAUUUUUGGGGAUUGAAAUGAUGCAGUGUGGCCAGUAUUUUAGAGACCAACGACAGAGAUUGCUAAACCACCAACGUGAUUAGCAACUUGCACCA